AGUCUCUCCGUAGAGAGAAUACGAUAACUGAAGAGGGCUUUAUAUGCUGAGAUGAAAUUUAGUUUGUUCAAAUCCGUAAUGAAUUGCCAUCGGGAAAGGAAUUUUCUAGAGAGAUCUUAGUCAUCUAAUUUGCGGCUGGCCUACUUGACCUUUUUCUUCUUUACUCCUGAAUCUUGUUUAUAAAAAAUGCAAUGUAAUAAAAUAUAAUUUAUAUUGUAUGUAAUAUAAAUUAUUUAUACCUCUGUGAAUAUAUAUGAUAAACAAAUGAAUAUAUACAAUGUAAUGUUAUAUUACAUCAUGGGUCAUUUUCUUCCUAAACUAUAAUCAUUUUUACAGUUUUAAACCAAAAAGGUAGUGAAAAUAAGCGAGCCCAUAUUAAAUUUCUAGGAAGUAUCCCUAAAUUGUUUCCUCAGUCUUUUGACUUAUUUCACAUGGAAUCCUAACAUACGUGGUUGUCUGUUUUUC
rnacentral:lncRNA from 10 species